rnacentral:lncRNA from 1 species
UCUCCUGUUUCCCUGUGCCAAGUGGUUCUUGGCACACUGUGGGUAUACAUUGAGAGUUUGGGGAACAAAUGAACGUACAUGAAAAUACAAAUCCUCGCACUUCAAUUUAUAUAUUACUAGAGGUACUGAAAGUUUUAUGACAACAGAAUUUAUGUUUGUUGAAUCAGAAUUUAAAUAUAUUAAUGUCAGGUGUUACUUAAAAGAGUUUCAUAUGAACUAUUUUUUGUUAGAGAUUAUUAUCUCCAACUUAUACUGCUGAGAGUCUGAGUUGCCAUGUAACAAAUUUGCUUAAGCCAAGGUUCAAGGGGAAAACACUUCUUAGUAUAAACAAUGGAACUUAUCUGAAUGUGAUUGUAGACCUCAGGUUAGUGCUUGCCAAAAAUUAAAGUAGGAAAUUCAGAAUAGCAAGGGAGGGAAGAGACUCAUCCAGCAGGGGAAUAUUUCACAGGGAUUUAUUGAUCAGUUAACAACCUAUAUCACAAGCCAGAUGGGAAGAAUGCCAGUGUUCCUUUUAUUUUUCAUCUUAUAUAUUUGUAGAUAUGCAUGACAUGUUUGAUAAAAUGUUUUAAAUCUUAAAGCAGAAUGAAAAAGCUUUUACAUUAGAUCAUGUAUAUUUUUGACAUGUAAAAUAGAGCUGCCACCCUUAGUUUUACUUAUCAGAUUGGACUAGGACAUCUUUUUUCUAAUAUUGGAUUCUUAUUUAUUGUAUUUUCU